rnacentral:rRNA from 1 species
GACGAACGCUGGCGGCGUGCCUAAUACAUGCAAGUCGAGCGAAGUUUUUCUGGUGCUUGCACUAGAAAAACUUAGCGGCGAACGGGUGAGUAACACGUAAAGAACCUGCCUCAUAGACUGGGACAACUAUUGGAAACGAUAGCUAAUACCGGAUAACAGUAUUUCUCGCCUGUGUGAUCUUUAAAAGUUGGUUAUGCUAACACUAUGAGAUGGCUUUGCGGUGCAUUAGCUAGUUGGUGGGGUAAAGGCCCACCAAGGCGACGAUGCAUAGCCGACCUGAGAGGGUGAUCGGCCACACUGGGACUGAGACACGGCCCAGACUCCUACGGGAGGCAGCAGUAGGGAAUCUUCCGCAAUGGGCGAAAGCCUGACGGAGCAACGCCGCGUGAGUGAAGAAGGAUUUCGGUUCGUAAAGCUCUGUUGUUAGGGAAGAAUGGAUAUGUAGUAACUAUACAUGUAAGAGACGGUACCUAACCAGAAAGCCACGGCUAACUACGUG